AUACGUAUGUCGCAAGCGUUAUCCGGAUUUAUUGGGCGUAAAGCGCGUCUAGGUGGCUUAGUAAGUCUGAUGUGAAAAUGCGGGGCUCAACCCCGUAUUGCGUUGGAAACUGCUAAACUAGAGUACUGGAGAGGUAGGCGGAACUACAAGUGUAGAGGUGAAAUUCGUAGAUAUUUGUAGGAAUGCCGAUGGGGAAGCCAGCCUACUGGACAGAUACUGACGCUAAAGCGCGAAAGCGUGGGUAGCAAACAGGAUUAGAUACCCUGGUAGUCCACGCCGUAAACGAUGAUUACUAGGUGUUGGGGGUCGAACCUCAGCGCCCAAGCUAACGCGAUAAGUAAUCCGCCUGGGGAGUACGUACACAAGUAUGAAACUCAAAGGAAUUGACGGGG
rnacentral:rRNA from 1 species